UCCAGCAAUGCCGCGUGUGUGAAGAAGGCCUUCGGGUUGUAAAGCACUUUUGUCCGGAAAGAAAUCCUUGGCUCUAAUACAGUCGGGGGAUGACGGUACCGGAAGAAUAAGCACCGGCUAACUACGUGCCAGCAGCCGCGGUAAUACGUAGGGUGCGAGCGUUAAUCGGAAUUACUGGGCGUAAAGCGUGCGCAGGCGGUUUGCUAAGACCGAUGUGAAAUCCCCGGGCUCAACCUGGGAACUGCAUUGGUGACUGGCAGGCUAGAGUAUGGCAGAGGGGGGUAGAAUUCCACGUGUAGCAGUGAAAUGCGUAGAGAUGUGGAGGAAUACCGAUGGCGAAGGCAGCCCCCUGGGCCAAUACUGACGCUCAUGCACGAAAGCGUGGGGAGCAAACAGGAUUAGAUACCCUGGUAGUCCACGCCCUAAACGAUGUCAACUAGUUGUUGGGGAUUCAUUUCCUUAGUAACGUAGCUAACGCGUGAAGUUGACCGCCUGGGGAGUACGGUCGCAAGAUUAAAACUCAAAGGAAUUGACGGGGACCCGCACAAGCGGUGGAUGAUGUGGAUUAAUUCGAUGCAACGCGAAAAACCUUACCUACCCUUGACAUGGUCGGAAUCCUGCUGAGAG
rnacentral:rRNA from 3 species